GAUGAACGCUGGCGGCGUGCCUAAUACAUGCAAGUCGAGCGAACAGACGAGGAGCUUGCUCCUCUGACGUUGCGGCGGGCGGGUGAGUAACACGUUGAUAACCUACCUAUAAGACUGGGGUAACUUCGGGAAACCGGAGCUAAUACCGGAUAAUAUAUUUAACCGCCUUGUUCCAUAGUUAAAGACGGGUUUUCUGUCACUUAUAGAUGGAUCCGCGCCGCCUUAGCUAGUUGGUAAGGUAACGGCUUACCAAGGCAACGAUGCGUAGCCGACCUGAGAGGGUGAUCGGCCACACUGGAACUGAGACACGGUCCAGACUCCUACGGGAGGCAGCAGUAGGGAAUCUUCCGCAAUGGGCGAAAGCUUGACGGAGCAACGCCGCGUGAGUGAUGAAGGUCUUCGGAUCGUAAAACUCUGUUAUUAGGGAAGAACAAAUGUGUAAGUAACUAUGCACGUCUUGACGGUACCUAAUCAGAAAGCCACGGCUAACUACGUG
rnacentral:rRNA from 1 species